UUUUUGUGCUCUAGUCUAAACCUUAUUACAAUAGAAUGAUAAAAGUUUAAACACAAAAACAUGGCAGACUCGAUCAAUCAUAUUCAGAAAUUUAAGCUUUGCAUAAAAUAUAGUUGGGUAUGUGUACACAUGAAUGAAUGUGUGCAAAUUGGUGUCUAUUUUGUAUGUUACGGCAAUAUAGAAAAGACAAGAUGUUGAUUUUUUUUAAAAGGACCACCUUCAAAAUAUUGUUGUCUAUGGAGUUUAUUAAGCAUAUACACAUGGAAAUCUAUAUAGAUAUGUCAUUCCCCACAAGUUAUGUGACAUUCUUUUCAAUUCUCUGUUCUUUCCCUUUCGUCGCCGCUGCUCACAUUAAUU
rnacentral:lncRNA from 1 species